rnacentral:sRNA from 2 species
AGGCAGGGUACUUAGGGUUCCGCCCGGUUCGACGAUGCCGGGGCCUGGUCCGAGAAGUGCCGCCGGGGUGGCAAAUUCCGCCCGGGUACACGGCGGGCCAAAAUCCCGGGAGAG